AGUGAACGCUGGCGGUAGGCCUAACACAUGCAAGUCGAACGGCAGCACAGUAAGAGCUUGCUCUUACGGGUGGCGAGUGGCGGACGGGUGAGGAAUACAUCGGAAUCUACUUUUUCGUGGGGGAUAACGUAGGGAAACUUACGCUAAUACCGCAUACGACCUACGGGUGGAAGCAGGGGAUCUUCGGACCUUGCGUGAUUGAAUGAGCCGAUGUCGGAUUAGCUAGUUGGCGGGGUAAAGGCCCACCAAGGCGAGGAUCCGUAGCUGGUCUGAGAGGAUGAUCAGCCACACUGGAACUGAGACACGGUCCAGACUCCUACGGGAGGCAGCAGUGGGGAAUAUUGGACAAUGGGCGCAAGCCUGAUCCAGCCAUACCGCGUGGGUGAAGAAGGCCUUCGGGUUGUAAAGCCCUUUUGUUGGGAAAGAAAAGCAGCAGGUUAAUACCCCGCUGUUCUGACGGUACCCAAAGAAUAAGCACCGGCUAACUUCGUG
rnacentral:rRNA from 1 species